AUACUUACCUGGCAGGGGAGAUACCAUGAUCACAAAGGUGGUUUUCCCAGAGCGAGGCUUAUCCACUGCACUCUGGAUAUGCUGACCCCUGAGAUGUCCUGAAAUGUGGGAAACUCAACUACACAAUUUAUGGUCAUGUGGGAUUGUAUUUGCACUUUCUCCUG
ensembl:snRNA U1 U1 spliceosomal RNA